GCUAGUUUGGCCGAGUGGUUAAGGCGAUGCCCUGCUAAUGUUUUCAUUAACAAAGCGGUCUAGGCAUUGGGAUUUUCCUUCGCAGGUUCGAAUCCUGUAGCUGGCG
rnacentral:tRNA from 1 species